rnacentral:rRNA from 1 species
GUAUAAUGCAGUCGAGCGAAUGGAYUAGAGAGCUUGCUCUUAUGAAGUUAGCGGCGGACGGGUGAGUAACACGUGGGUAACCUGCCCAUAAGACUGGGAUAACUCCGGGAAACCGGGGCUAAUACCGGAUAACAUUUUGAACUGCAUGGUUCGAAAUUGAAAGGCGGCUUCGGCUGUCACUUAUGGAUGGACCCGCGUCGCAUUAGCUAGUUGGUGAGGUAACGGCUCACCAAGGCAACGAUGCGUAGCCGACCUGAGAGGGUGAUCGGCCACACUGGGACUGAGACACGGCCCAGACUCCUACGGGAGGCAGCAGUAGGGAAUCUUCCGCAAUGGACGAAAGUCUGACGGAGCAACGCCGCGUGAGUGAUGAAGGCUUUCGGGUCGUAAAACUCUGUUGUUAGGGAAGAACAAGUGCUAGUUGAAUAAGCUGGCACCUUGACGGUACCUAACCAGAAAGCCACGGCUAACUACGUGCCAGCAGCCGCGGUAAUACGUAGGUGGCAAGCGUUAUCCGGAAUUAUUGGGCGUAAAGCGCGCGCAGGUGGUUUCUUAAGUCUGAUGUGAAAGCCCACGGCUCAACCGUGGAGGGUCAUUGGAAACUGGGAGACUUGAGUGCAGAAGAGGAAAGUGGAAUUCCAUGUGUAGCGGUGAAAUGCGUAGAGAUAUGGAGGAACACCAGUGGCGAAGGCGACUUUCUGGUCUGUAACUGACACUGAGGCGCGAAA